rnacentral:rRNA from 1 species
GAUGAACGCUGGCGGCGUGCCUAAUACAUGCCAGUCGAGCGAACAGACGAUGAGCUUGCUCCUCUGACGUUAGCGGCGGACGGGUGAGUAACACGUGGAUAACCUACCUAUAAGACUGGGAUAACUUCGGGAAACCGGAGCUAAUACCGGAUAAUAUAUUGAACCGCAUGGUUCAAUAGUGAAAGACGGUUUUGCUGUCACUUAUAGAUGGAUCCGCGCCGCAUUAGCUAGUUGGUAAGGUAACGGCUUACCAAGGCAACGAUGCGUAGCCGACCUGAGAGGGUGAGCGGCCACACUGGAACUGAGACACGGUCCAGACUCCUACGGGAGGCAGCAGUAGGGAAUCUUCCGCAAUGGGCGAAAGCCUGACGGAGCAACGCCGCGUGAGUGAUGAAGGUCUUCGGAUCGUAAAACUCUGUUAUUAGGGAAGAACAAAUGUGUAAGUAACUAUGCACGUCUUGACGGUACCUAAUCAGAAAGCCACGGCUAACUACGUG